rnacentral:lncRNA from 1 species
AGCCCUAUAGGUUGUUGACAGGAUAAAUUUUGAUAGAAAGAUGCCUAUGUAAACCCAUAAAUAGAGUUUUUAUACUUUUUAAAUCACUGGAAACUGAGUUCAGUAUCUGAUUUCGGUUAUUUGUUUAAAGAAGUUUUAACUACCCGCUUGUGGUGUGUGUUGGGAGCAGGAAGGGAGGGAGAAGUCUUUGCUUAAAUCAUAAAGACAGCAAAUUUCCAAGUAUGUUCAGGUAUCAAAAGGGCUUGGUAGUCACUGUUUAUUGGUGCUAUGUGCACUCCAUCCAUUAUCUAGUUAAAUCCUCAACAAUUAGCCUAAGUAAUAGUAUUAUCUCAAUUAUCUUGCCUCCUUGUGUUUUAAAACUGAAAUGCUCGUUUACUUAACCUUUUCCUAUAUGGGGAUUAAUCAGGAAAUUCAAAAAGGCUUUUUAAAUAUGUUUCUCUAGUUUGAGCUCCCUAUUCUCAUGGAUAGGUAAAACAAUGUAUUUGCUCCCACCUGGAAUCUUUGCUUUUGGCUCUAGUGCCAAGACAGGAAGUGGGCAUCAGCGGGUCCUGGCGGUAGCCGCACACUGCAUAUGCAGAGGACGGUGUUUCGUCUGUCCUCUGCUGGGUCACGGGAUGUCUGGAGGCAUUCAUAUCUACCUGAUGGAUUUCAUGUGUUGCUUUUCACUUAAUAGACAAUAUCUUUUCUUGCUGCAGUAAUUUUGCCAGAAAGGCAAUUCGUAAGAUAGAGUCAUGUCUAUAGUAUGAAUUGCGUU